UUCGUUUCUUCUUCACACCAUCGAAUGCUUCGGUUAUCUCUGCUCUCGAUUCUUGACGGGCUCGGUGGGCACCAUCGGCGGGUAGCACGACCGGGUCGGUCAUGGACGAGCUCGCCUGUUCCACCGGAUCCAUCAAGGUCACCUGCUCUUAUUUGUCUUCCCCUCUCGUAACCUCUGCAGUCCUGUGCUGCAACCCUAAGGAGGAGGGGUUUACCCGAUGGCGGUGUGGUUGUCGAGGGUUGCAGCUCUUUGGGAACUUUUGACAAACGAUCUUCAUGCGUUUAGAGUCGUAGGUCGAGGCUGAAGCUUUAGAGAAUAUGGUGUUUGACGAGUCGGUUUCCGACGGGUUUUCUCGUUUCCUCCCGAGGAUGAUAAGAACGUCGUAUUCGCUGCCGCCAACAGGUUGCUACCGACGUUGGUCCGUCUUCUGGACUCCGCCGUCGGUGCCAUCUCCUACCACGAGACGAGGGAGAAGGCCGCAGCGGCGAUCAGGAGGAUCUCGCCCAUGCAGAGUUGUCGCCGCCUCCUGCUGGCGGAGGGCCCGCCCCUCCUCAACCACCCUUCCCGCGUCUGGAGUCUGAGGGAGGCGCCACAAAGGAAAAGGCCUUCGUGGCCCUCCAAACCCUAAUGCUAACAAAGGAAAACGGGUCAUCAUCGGAUCCCACGGUGGGAUCACAGCCUUUCGUGAGAUCUGUCGUGCAAGAAAGCCCUUCGCCUCGGCCACCGCCGCCGUAGUGAUCAAGAAAAUUGAGAAGCAACGAGGUGGGUGUGUGCACUCGGUCGUGAGAAUGAUACUGUGUUUCCUUGGUGGAAUGGUGCGAAAAUUGGCUCAAAUGCAGGUGCCAUUUUUAAAGGACUCGGUGUAGAGCACCAUCGUCGGAAGAAACUCCCCAACUUGGGUUGUGUGUGCGGGGCACUCCAAUCUCUCUGGUCAUGAUCC